GUGCCCGUGGCGCAACUGGACAGCGUGUCAGAUUCCGAAUCUGAAGGUUGAGAGUUCGAGUCUCUUCGGGCGCACCA
rnacentral:tRNA from 1 species